rnacentral:rRNA from 1 species
UUGGUGUGAAUUGCAGGACACACUGAGCACUGAUUCUUUGAACGCACAUUGCGGCCUUGGGUCUUCCCUUGGCUUCGUCUGUCUGAGGGUCGGAUCAUAUAUCAAGAGAGCCGCAGCGCCCGAAGGGUGCGGUGCUCGCGACUCGUUUUGACCGCGUCGGCGUUAUGGACAGCACGUUGAACGCGAAAGGCUUGCGCAAAGGACAUGCGAGGAGGAGAUGCCAGAGAUUUGAGCGCACGUGCAAAGGGGAGGGUCCCGGGGGAUGCGUUCCCCGACCCCCUCGCGCUGGCGUUGGGAAGUCUGAUCGUGCGAAGCGGGAUCGCCCUUCGAAGCGUCCGGAAUCGGGCGGCGCUGAAUCGGAUUCGAAGGUGCGUGAGCACGUGCAAGACGACGCCGGAUGAGCGCGUGGAACGGGAGCGGAUGCAUUCCCUGCGCUCGUGCCUCUGACUUAUCUCGGAGACCGCGAAUCGGCUGCGAACCUCUCGCAGGGUGUGGAGGUGAGCAGGAGCGGAUACCGAGGUCCUGGCACACUGUCGAAAGGGUACGGAGCGCCUGAGCCGAGCGUGCUUGAAGGCGCGCUUGGCCGGCGGCCCCCUUUCCAGGCUUGUGCCGUCAGUCUCUGGGAAUCGGAAUUCUCCGACUCCGUGUUGGCGGUGGAAAUACGCGACUCGGCCGCGGCCUUCCGAUGGGUGAGAAGGCACGCGGAAGCGGAUUCCCCCCACUUUUGAACGCGCGCGCGUUGCCCGGUAGAAGAUUAGGCGCGCGCCGGCCAGACGCACUUCGCUGCAGGAAAGCCUCGGAAACGAUUCGGAAUGUUUCUACGAGUCGAUUGCCUGCAUGUGGGAAGGAGAUGCGUUAGCCGGUGCCCUUUUCUCCCGCGGAGAACGCACCCUUUGCCAAGCUGGACGCGAUCCGUCGUAGUCCGCCGUCGGUCUAAGUGCUUCGCAGUCUCUGCCCCAAGUAACCUGGGUCACUCCAGUGGGGGCGGGGGCGAACGUUUCUUGAGAUGAUGCUCGGCUCCCGGUUGAGGUCGUCCUCGUGAGGGUUUGCGAGGCGGCAGGGAAUUAUUCGACCGCGGGUGCACACGAGCCGCCUUAUCGUUUCUGCUGCGCCGUUGUUUGGUGUGCUUACCCCGUCUUUUGGCGACUGGCGGUAGUGUUCCGGGGAGUGAGAACGCGAAACCCUUCGCUUUGAGAGACGGUGCGGUGUGACGCGCCCGACAGCGCCGGAAACGAAAGACGUAUAUAUCCGUGUCGACCUCAGAUCAGGCGAGACAACCCGCUGAAUUUAAGCAUAUCACUAAGCGGAGGAAAAGAAACCAACAGGGAUUCCCUUAGUAGCUGCGAGCGAAACGGGACCUAGCCCAGCACCGAAUCCCUCGUCCUUGCCGGCGAUCGGGAAAUGUGGUGUAUGGGAGGCGACGUUCUCGGGUGUUUGCGACGGUGCAAGUCCCCCUGACAGGGGCUUGUCCCAGAGUGGGUGCCAGGCC